rnacentral:lncRNA from 1 species
ACCUUUCUAUUUUCUUGGACCCAUUAAUUACAAUUUUAUAUGGGCACAUGGCUCAUAAAAACUUUAAUUUUCUGGCUGUACUCUUUCCUUAGUCAGUUUUUAACAGUCUCUAAAUACUCUACAUGCGCAGUGUGAAUCGUGGAACCUAUUCCGUAAUUUGAUUAGUUUUUGUCAUAGAAUAUACUUUUUAGUUGUUUGCUCUGAUUAAAAAAAAGCUCUUUUUACUCCACAAAAUAAAUAAUAAUUAUUUUUUGCGGUUUAAAUCAGUUUUCAGCAUUAAAAAUGUUCCACCAAUCAGGUUUAGUGCCAAAUUGGAUGAUUAUCUCUUUGGUCACAAUUAUCGCAUGCAGAUAUAUUCAAACCCAAGAAGCUGAUUAUGAUAACGGUGUUGACGAGAGAUGUAAGACGUUGUAUGACCCAAACAGAUCGGUAUCUUUUGAUUUCGAGUGCAAUAAAUGUUUCUGCAUGAGUUUUGGGGUCGCGGCAUGUACGCGCAAGGUAUGCGGUCGUGGAGACCACGGGAACAAAACGGAUAAAGCCAAUAUUGGACCAGAUCCUCGUUGCUUGAACGGCAAGACUUAUUUCAAAAGUGGUUGCAACUCUUGUUUCUGCGUGUCCAGCCCUUUGGUCGUCGCCUGCACGAAGAUGUACUGCCCUAAAGCACCGAAUUCAUCCCCCCUGCGGGCCAUCCCACCCAAGAUCGAUUGCAAAAAAGACCCUCACACUUCGCAUUGAUACAUUAUUGUGGUACGAACCAUGUGUAAAAAAUAAAAUGUUUUCACACAUCGAUUUUCCAUGUGAAAUCAUGAAUUACUACCUCGCUCACCUCCGCCUCCUGUUUUCAGCAAAGAAAUCUAAGAUUCACAGUGAAAAGGUGAAAUAUGAACCGGUAAAUGGACGUAUUUCUGUCAAACGGAACUAUGUGCAUUGUGACGUGAGCCCUUUUAUGCAUAUAUUCAUAUGGGUCUCAGGGCUCAUGUUUUAAGGCACGUAGUUCCGUUUGGCAGAGAUACGUCCAAAUGUGGAAAUGCUGCGCGUUACAGAAGAGGGGCUUGGUUGGAAUAUUUAGUUUCGCUUGCAUUAUAAUAUACAUAGUAUAAUAAGUAUUAAUAUUAUAUUAUUACUUUACCAUUAUGAGUAUAAUUGCAUUAUACUUGUGAUGCACCUUUGGACAGGGCGAGAAUCAAAUAACCGCAAGAAAAUUGCACGUUGGAAAUUGCACAAAUUGAAUUUAAAGAAUAUACUGAAAAUCGGUGCGCACAAGAGAGGCAUUAGUUUUUAAAGUUUACAUUAAGCAUACCCAAUAAAAAACUUCUCGUUCACAUGUAAACUACAGUCCGUGUUGGCCAAUUAAAUCAGCCGCUAAAAACUUGCUAAAUUACGGAUAUUUUACUUUCAUGUUCACAUAGAGAGUAUUACGAUCAAAAUAAUUUUCAAUCCAUUCUAAGCAUCUUAAUUAUUUACUUUUACUUCACUGUACCUUACAAAAAGAGUCUCACUAAAAAAGGCAAAGCAGCUCCCAAAAUAGACCGCAUGUUUGGUCGUAAUUAAAAAAGACGUUAAUACCACUUUCGAAAGUUAGGUACUUCAAGAAAAUAAACCUUAGAAAAUGAAGAAGUUAGCAAAUUGUUGAAUUAACACGUGAUAGAAUGAUUUUAAGAGAUUGACAGUAAUAAAUCCUCACAAACCAAGGUUUUUAGGGGCAUGCUUGUCGAACGAUCAUGUGCUGCAUAUUCUAACUUGUUUUUUUUAUCAUAAAAAACAUCAUUUUUUCGAUUCUGAGAAGCUCAAAUUUUAUCAUCCAAAAUAUUAAGUGCUAAAAACUAUCACGUUAGCUGAUACAGCGGUUAAAAGUUGCUGAUUUCAUAUCUUUUCCAUGUAAAUGCACUGGUGGAAAAGUAAAUAAAAUG